rnacentral:rRNA from 1 species
CGAAGGGGCUAGCGUUGUUCGGAAUUACUGGGCGUAAAAGGGCGCGUAGGCGGUUUGUUAAGUCAGGCGUGAAAGCCCUGGGCUCAACCUGGGAGGUGCGUUUGAUACUGGCAAGCUUGAGUGCAGGAGAGGAUGGUGGAAUUCCCAGUGUAGAGGUGAAAUUCGUAGAUAUUGGGAAGAACACCGGUGGCGAAGGCGGCCAUCUGGACUGCAACUGACGCUGAGGCGCGAAAGCGUGGGGGAGCAAACAGGAUU